rnacentral:rRNA from 1 species
GACGAACGCUGGCGGCGUGCCUAACACAUGCAAGUCGAGCGAGAGCCGGAUGUCAGCUUUAAAAGGUUGGCAUUAGGUGAAAGCGGCGAACGGGUGAGUAACGCGUGGGCAACCUACCCUGUACAGCGGGAUAACAUUGGGAAACCGGUGCUAAUACCGCAUGAAGCAUACGAGUGGCAUCGCUUGUAUGUUAAAGGGGGAACCCGGUACGGGAUGGGCCCGCGUCCAAUUAGCUAGUUGGUGAGGUAACGGCUCACCAAGGCGACGAUUGGUAGCCGAGCUGAGAGGUUGGUCGGCCACAUUGGGACUGAGACACGGCCCAGACUCCUACGGGAGGCAGCAGUAGGGAAUUUUGGACAAUGGGCGAAAGCCUGAUCCAGCCAUGCCGCGUGCAGGAUGAAGGCCUUCGGGUUGUAAACUGCUUUUGUACGGAACGAAAAGACUCUGGUUAAUACCUGGGGUCCAUGACGGUACCGUAAGAAUAAGCACCGGCUAACUACGUG